rnacentral:lncRNA from 10 species
GCCUGACGUCCAGGCAUUCUUUUACACAUCGGUCCCUCCGUAGUCUCUGCUCUCAGUGAGACUCGUCCCAAAUCUUUCUUCUUUCUCUCCUGUCUGUUCUUUCAGUCUCCACCCCAAGCUCUGAGUCCUUUGAAUCCUCCUUUCCUACAGACUCAUCUGACCUCUCCCCUCCUCCCCAGGCUGCUCCUCGCCAGGCCAAGCCAGGUCCCAAUUCUUCCUCAGCCUCCACUCCCUGACCCUGUAAUCCUUUUAUCACCCCCUCCUCACACCCCAUCCAGCUUAUAAUUUCUUUCUUCAACUAGCCCUCCCCCACCUGCCCAACAAUUUCCUCUUAAAGAGGUGGCUGGAGCUGAAGGCAUAGCCAAGAUUAAAGCUCCUUUUUCUUUAUCUGAUCUCGGCUUAGUGGCUGAAGACUGACACUGCCGGAUUGCCUCAGGAGCCUACAGGACCAUCACAGACACUUUGGGUAACUCUUACAGUGGAGGAAAGAUGCUACAAACCAAGGGCCGAGUGAGAAGAAUGGUUCAUUUCCGAACAAUUCAAUCUGCUCCGAGAAACAAGGAAUUAGCCUGUGGAAGAGUGAGUUAUUUUAAACCACUCUGCAUUAAAACCAAUUAAUGCUCUGGAGGGUCCAGCCUGCCAGAGGAGAAUUUGAGCUAAUUGCUACAGACCAAUCAUAGUCAGUAUAACGCUCCUCCUAUCAGCAAAUAAUAGCACUGGGUAGAGUGGGGUGUGGGGGAUGAACUCAAUCUCCACAGGAAGACAGACCAAAUGUGAUGGCUAUUUUCUCUUCAAGUGCCUCAGAUUUAGAAUUCUUCUGAUCCCAAAGUGUGCUCACCAUACCUCUCAUGAGUCAAACUGCCAUUUUCCCAGCAGUAAUCAUGUGCCCAGCCUUCUCCCAUUCAGCUCUGUUGAGUUAUAAAAGCCAAAGGAAUGGAACAACAACAACAGAAAAGCUAAAUGAUUCAGCCACAAUACAGAGUGAAUCAGCAAAGGAACAAAAAAAUGUAGGGAAAGGGAAUCUGUGUGGUGUCUUGAAUAAAAGUGCCUUCCAAUAAAUUUGGUGAAUUGUCUUCG